rnacentral:rRNA from 1 species
GAUGAACGCUGGCGGCGUGCCUAAUACAUGCAAGUCGAGCGAACGGACGAGAAGCUUGCUUUUCUGAUGUUAGCGGCGGACGGGUGAGUAACACGUGGAUAACCUACCUAUAAGACUGGGAUAACUUCGGGAAACCGGAGCUAAUACCGGAUAAUAUUUUGAACCGCAUGGUUCAAAAGUGAAAGACGGUCUUGCUGUCACUUAUAGAUGGAUCCGCGCUGCAUUAGCUAGUUGGUAAGGUAACGGCUUACCAAGGCAACGAUGCAUAGCCGACCUGAGAGGGUGAUCGGCCACACUGGAACUGAGACACGGUCCAGGCUCCUACGGGAGGCAGCAGUAGGGAAUCUUCCGCAAUGGGCGAAAGCCUGACGGAGCAACGCCGCGUGAGUGAUGAAGGUCUUCGGAUCGUAAAACUCUGUUAUUAGGUAAGAACAUAUGUGUAAGUAACUGUGCACAUCUUGACGGUACCUAAUCAGAAAGCCACGGCUAACUACGUG